AUGAUUCUUCUGCACAAUCUGACUUUGCUGCAGCCUGGAAUUGAACUGCUGGUUUUUUUCUCCAUUCUGUCACCAAUGGAGUUUUGGUUCCUUGCUGUUGUCGCCUAUGGCUUGCUUAGUUGUGGACACUUCAUUUACAGUGAUAUUGUUGACUUGAUUGCAAAUGAUUGCACAGAUACUAUUUAAACUGAACUGAGCUGGGCCGGGUUUCCCGAUAACGAUUGAUCUUAGCGCUUAAGAGCAAUUUCGACGAGUAAUUUUAUGAUCGUUCAUUAUUGUUUCACGUGUGUUUCCCAACAAUGCCUGUAAAGCAAUCACACGUAGCUGUGCUUUAAGUGCUACUUAGGAGUCGCUAUCCAUUUGUCAAGUGCUGAAAUGUCACCUUAUAGAAUGGCUCUUAAUUGUAAUACAUGAUCGUUUAUUGACGUUAACCUAAUGCUGCGUUCCAGACAGACAACUUGGAUAUAAUAACUAUAAUGCAAUACAAUAUUGUAUUAUAUUAUAGUGUAUAAUAUUAUACUUUACAUAAUAAUAUAUAAUGUACUUUAUAUACAGUAGAGAGAGAGAGAGAGAGAGAGAGAGAGAGAGAGAGAGAGAGACGUUAUUUCCGGGUCUAAUACAUAGCUGGUUUUCGUGCACUUCAGCAAGUCAUUGACAUAAUUUUUCCCCCAGUCUUUGAAGCAUUUCCUACAUUACUUCUUAAGAUCAGCCGUACGAUUGUUUUUACGAACUUCUUAGGCUUAUGAAGCUUUUGGGAAACUCAGCCCUGAAUGAUGACAUCACUGAAUUCAAUGAUGAACUGCUUUAACUGUCAUUUUGCAUUAUUGACACACUAUUUUCCUAAUUAAUGUUGUUCAGUUGCUUUGACACAAUCUGUUUUGUAUAAAGCGCUAUAUAAAUAAAGGUGACUUGACUUGACUCGACAAAAUAUCAAUUUCAGUCAGUUUGCAAACAUCCCUUUGCGUUCUCCAUUCCGUGAACAACUUCAACACGUGACUGACUUGCAGUUAACACUGUGGCCCUGCGGCGGCGGUAGCAGGCAUUUUGGUUGGCCACCUACUGUAAUUUCAGACCCUAAAAAUGCAAGUCCUGAAAAUACAAGGCAUGAAAAUGCAAGCACUGUUAAUGCAAUGCAUUUUUUUUCAGUUAGUACAAUUCAACAUGCUUUUUUGUUUCAAAGACAUUUGUCAUUAUU
ensembl:lncRNA